rnacentral:rRNA from 1 species
UCGAAUUGUAAACUCCUUUGAUCGGGGAUGAAAAAAAUGACAGUACCCGAAAAACAAGCCACGGCUAACUACGUGCCAGCAGCCGCGGUAAUACGUAGGUGGCAAGCGUUGUCCGGAAUUAUUGGGCGUAAAGGGCGCGUAGGCGGUCCCUUAAGUCAGAUGUGAAAUCCCGAGGCUUAACCUCGGGCGUGCAUUUGAAACUGGGGGACUAGAGUGCAGGAGAGGUAAGUGGAAUUCCUAGUGUAGCGGUGAAAUGCGUAGAUAUUAGGAGGAACACCAGUGGCGAAGGCGACUUACUGGACUGUAACUGACGCUGAGGCGCGAAAGCGUGGGGAGCAAACAGGAUUAGAUACCCUGGUAGUCCACGCUGUAAACGAUGGAUACUAGGUGUGGGAGGUAUCGACCCCUUCCGUGCCGCAGUAAACGCAAUAAGUAUCCCGCCUGGGGAGUACGGCCGCAAGGUUGAAACUCAAA